rnacentral:RNase_P_RNA from 1 species
GAAGUCAGCCAGACCGCCGCUGGUGCAAUCGUGGAAACACGGCACUGGAGGAACGUCCGGACUGCACAGGGCAGCGUAGCAGGUAACACCUGUCCACCGUGAGGUGAGGAUCAGAGCAACAGAGACGAGCCGGUUCAGUCCGGGUGAAACGGGCAAUCUCUACGCGCAGCAAUACCAAGUAGGCCAGUGUUGAUGUGGCUCCGCAGAGCUGGCGGGUAGGUAGCAUCGAGCCGGGUGGGCGACCCCCGGCCCAGAGUAAUGGCGGUCACGCCACGGGCAACCGUGGUGCACAGAAUCCGGCUUACGGCUGGCUUCACAC